UACGUAGGUGGCAAGCGUUGUCCGGAUUUACUGGGCGUAAAGGGAGCGUAGGCGGAUUUUUAAGUGGGAUGUGAAAUACCCGGGCUUAACCUGGGUGCUGCAUUCCAAACUGGAAGUCUAGAGUACAGGAGGGGAAAGCGGAAUUCCUAGUGUAGCGGUGAAAUGCGUAGAGAUUAGGAAGAACACCAGUGGCGAAGGCGGCUUUCUGGACUGUAACUGACGCUGAGGCUCGAAAGCGUGGGGAGCGAACAGG
rnacentral:rRNA from 1 species